rnacentral:lncRNA from 1 species
GUGGAAUCUCAGAGAAAUGAGAGACAAAAACUUAGCACACAGCUUCUGGGAUUUUUAGAGCCUACACACAAGAACUAAGACUCAAACAAAAUUCUCUCCUCUCUUCUCUGUUCUUCCUGUAUUUUGGACUUCCUUUCUCCUAUUGCAGACUGACUGUGGAAAUUCUCCCAGCUGUAGUUAAGGGGAAAAAAAAAAAUCCCAGGGAAGGACUGACUUCUAUUGGCCUCAGCUUGAAUCACACCCAUUUUGGAAAGAACAAGAAAUGCUACGUUGCCCCUCUCCCCCAUUCCCUCCACUAGCAAUCACUGUCAUCAAAAACGCAGGUCCCUGUCCACAAAAUGACAACUAUUCUCAUGUGAACAGAAAAGAGGGAAAGAGAAGCACUUCCUCAGAAGAAACCAAUUUCCUUUCCCCAAAAGAAAUGAGAGAAAAGCAUGCAUGGAGAGGCUGCGGCAGUGACUUAUACUGUGACAUAAUAUGUUUUUGACACAAAAAGUACUUGUCACAAAUGCAGGAUACAAAAGCAACCCUUCUAAGUGUUUUAAAGGGAGCAAGGAAAACCCAGCUUUUAUCAGUCAAUAAUACAUCCGACAUAAAUAAUGAUUGAAAACUGACAGCUACGAGAUGUGAUUGAGGUGCUUCAAAUCCCUGAAAAUGAAAAGCCUUUCUUGGAGUCAGGAGCAGCCAUGUGACUGAGUUCUAGCCAAAAGAAUGUGGAGAAGUAAUGAAUGCGACUUCCAGAUUUGGUCCCUAACAAGCUGUCGUGCCCAAUCCUCCACUCUUCUUCUAUGUCUGCUGGCUGAACAAAUGGUCUCCAAGAUCACAGAGGAAGACAGAGACAGCAUGCUAGGUCUCAUGAGAACUCUUCCAGAGAAUCUUAGAAAUAAAAGGGAGGCUUUGAAUGGGAGCAGGAAAAAGAUGAGACCCCCGAGUUGUACAGAUACUAUUUACUGUCAAGAUGAUACAUGAAAUUACCCAGAGGAAGAGCCUAUAUAAAAAAGAUGGGUAAGAACAGAGCCUUGGAGUCCCCCAAAAUUUAGAAGAAAGGAAGAUGAGAAUCUAUCAAAGGAGACUGGAAAGAAGCAAGCUAUGAAGGAGGAGAAAACCCGUAAGUAUCUUGGAAAGGAAGGUAAGAAAUAAAAGUGUUUCAAGAAGGAAAAAUUAGUCAACUGAUUCAUAUUCUCCUAGGAGAUGAAGUGAGAUGGGUGCAGAAUUAAUCACUGAUUGAAUUUUGCAAUAUG